GCUUGUAACAUAGCAUUAAUGCACUGGAUCUCAUUAGAACUAUGCAGUUAAGCACGCUCAAGAUAGAGUAGUACUGGGAUGGGUGACUGCCCGGGAAGUCCUAGUGUUUUACAUGCA
rnacentral:rRNA from 1 species